rnacentral:rRNA from 1 species
AAUGGGGGAAACCCUGACGCAGCAACGCCGCGUGGGUGAUGAAGGCCUUCGGGUCGUAAAGCCCUGUCGGGAGGGAAGAAAUGAUUGAGGGCUAAUACCUCCUGAUCUUGACGGUACCUCCGAGGGAAGCACCGGCUAACUCCGUGCCAGCAGCCGCGGUAAUACGGAGGGUGCAAGCGUUGUUCGGAAUUAUUGGGCGUAAAGCGCGUGUAGGCGGUUUGUUAAGUCUGAUGUGAAAGCCCUGGGCUCAACCUGGGAAGUGCAUUGGAGACUGGCAGACUUGAAUACGGGAGAGGGUAGUGGAAUUCCGAGUGUAGGAGUGAAAUCCGUAGAUAUUCGGAGGAACACCGGUGGCGAAGGCGGCUACCUGGACCGAUAUUGACGCUGAGACGCGAAAGCGUGGGUAGCAAA